rnacentral:piRNA from 1 species
UGAUUCCUCCAAACUGCUCUCC